GUCUUCUUGACUGGAUAAUAAGAAGUCUGACCUGCCCAGUGAAAAAUUAUUUAACGGCCGCGGUAUUUUGACCGUGCAAAGGUAGCAUAAUCAUUAGUCUUUUAAUAGAGGGCUGGUAUGAAAGGUUUGACGAGGUGCUGACUGUCUCAUUUAAUUUGAAAUUAAAAUUUAACUUUUCAGUCAAAAGGCUGAAAUAAUAUUGGAAGACGAGAAGACCCUAUAGAGCUUUAUAUUUAAUUUAUUAAUAAUUUUUUGAGUAUUAAUUUUUAUUAUUAAUUUAAGUAUUUUGUUGGGGUGACAAAAAUAUAAAAUUAACUUUUUUAUCUAUUAAACAUUAAUUUAUGAUUAUUAGAUCCAAUCUUAUUGAUUGUUAGAAUAAGUUACCUUAGGGAUAACAGCGUAAUCUUCCUCCAGAGUUCAUAUUUACAGGAAGGCUUGCGACCUCGAUGUUGGAUUAAGAUAAUAAUUAGGUGUAGCCGCUUAAUAUAUAGGUCUGUUCGACCUUUAAAUUCUU
rnacentral:rRNA from 1 species